GGGCCCGCACAAGCGGUGGAGCAUGUGGUUUAAUUCGAUGCAACGCGAAAAACCUUACCUACUCUUGACAUCCUUGGAAUGCUUUAGAAAUAAAGCAGUGCCUUCGGGAACCAAGUGACAGGUGCUGCAUGGCUGUCGUCAGCUCGUGUCGUGAGAUGUUGGGUUAAGUCCCGUAACGAGCGAAACCCCUUUUCUAUGUUGCCAGCACGUAAUGGUGGGGACUCUUAGAAUACUGCCGGUGUUAAAUCGGAGGAAGGUGGGGACGAUGUCAAGUCAUCAUGGCCCUUACGAGUAGGGCUACACACGUGCUACAAUGGGCAGUACAGAGGGUUGCGAAGCCGCGAGGCCAAGCUAAUCUCAGAAAGCUGCUCUCAGUCCGGAUUGGAGUCUGCAACUCGGCUCCAUGAAGUCGGAAUC
rnacentral:rRNA from 1 species